rnacentral:rRNA from 1 species
GACGUAGGAGGCGAGCGUUGUCCGGAUUCAUUGGGCGUAAAGAGCACGCAGGCGGUUUGGCAAGUCGGAUGUGAAAACCCGGAGCUCAACUCCGGACCUGCAUCCGAAACUGCCCGACUAGAGGUAGGUAGGGGAGAUCGGAAUUCCUGGUGUAGCGGUGAAAUGCGCAGAUAUCAGGAAGAACACCAAUGGCGAAGGCAGCUCUCUGGGACGGUACUGACGCUGAGACGCGAAAGCGUGGGGAGCGAACAGG